rnacentral:rRNA from 1 species
UACGGAGGGUGCAAGCGUUAAUCGGAAUUACUGGGCGUAAAGCGUGCGCAGGCGGUUUGUUAAGUCCGCUGUGAAAUCCCCGAGCUCAACUUGGGAAUUGCAGUGGAUACUGGCAGGCUGGAGUACGGUAGAGGAAGGUGGAAUUCCCGGUGUAGCAGUGAAAUGCGUAGAGAUCGGGAGGAACACCAGUGGCGAAGGCAGCCUUCUGGGCCAACACUGACGCUGAAGCACGAAAGCGUGGGGAGCAAACAGG